GGGCCUGUAGCUCAGUUGGUUAGAGCGUCCGCCUGAUAAGCGGGAGGUCAGUGGUUCAAAUCCACUCAGGCCCACCA
rnacentral:tRNA from 1 species